rnacentral:rRNA from 1 species
GACGAACGCUGGCGGCGUGCCUGACACAUGCAAGUCGGACGGUCCGUGAUUGAUCAAGCUUGCUUGAUUGGUUGUGGAUAGUGGCGGACGGGUGAGUAACGCGUGAACACCUACCCAUUGGAGGGGUACAACCCGUCGAAAGGCGGGCUAAUACCGCGUAAGCCGUGAGGUGAAAGGCUGCUUUUUGGUGGCUGCCGAUGGAUGGGUUCGCGUCCUAUCAGCUGGUUGGUGGGGUAACGGCCUACCAAGGCUAAGACGGGUAGCCGGUCUGAGAGGAUGGCCGGCCACACUGGAACUGAGACACGGUCCAGACUCCUACGGGGGGCAGCAGUGGGGAAUCUUCCACAAUGGGCGAAAGCCUGAUGGAGCGACGCCGCGUGAGCGAAGAAGGCCUUCGGUUGUAAAGCUCUGUCUGGAGGGACGAAGGAAGUGACGGUACCUCCGGAGGAAGCCACGGCUAACUACGUG